GAGUGGCGCGGAGGGAGCGAGCGGGGUUUGUGUGGGGGGGUUGUGUGUCUGUCUGUCUGUCUUUGUCUCUGUGUGUGUGUGUAUGUGUGUGUCUGUGUGUGUGUGUGUGAGGGGAUGUGUGUGUAUGUGUGUGUGGGGGUGAGUGUGAGGGGAACGGCCGCGGGAGCGCGCCGCGCAUGCGCCGGCGCCGGGCAGGAGUGGCGCGGAGGGAGCGAGCGGGGUUUGUGGGGGUUUUGUGUGUGUGUGUGUGUGUGUGUGUGUGUGUGUGUGUGUCUGCGUCUCUGUGUGUUUGUGUGUGUCUGUAUGUUUAUGUGUAUAAGCGUGUCUGUGUUUGUGUGUGUGUGUGUGUGUGUGUGUGUGUGUGUGUCUGUGUCUGUGUGUGUUUGUGUGUGUGUAUGUUUGUGUGUGAGUGUGUCUCUGUGUGUGUCUCCGUGUGAGGGGGAAUCGCCGCGGGAGCGCUCCGCGCAUGCGCCGGGCGCCACCCGCGCCCCCCUCAGGAAUGGCGCGGGGCCGGUGGCGGGGUUGGAAUCGGGGUGAUGGAGACUGGGAAUGGUGGAUGUGGAGAGUAACUCAUCCAGCCCUUCGUGGAGACAGGGAAUGAUGGAGACUGGGAAU
rnacentral:lncRNA from 1 species